UGCUGUACCUGCUAUAGAAUCUGCUGCUGGAACUGGUGAGACUGCUGAAGAAGCUGAUCCUGAAACCACUGCAGCUGAACAGAUAAAAUCUCUGCCACUCUCUCAGCUAGCUGUCCCAUAUCAACAUCCCCCAAGCUAAAAGUAGGUGCGGUACGAUACGGCUCAAUGGGGGUACUUUGACUGAAGGUCUUGUCUCAGACUCUAAAACAUGGUGAUCAACUAGACUCGGCUUGGGUACAGGAGAAAAUGGACCCUCCCCCUUAACAUUCUCCUUAUCAUCCUCCUCAUCAACUGCAGCUGCACGGCCC
rnacentral:lncRNA from 1 species